UGCAACGUUCGGAAGCAGUGGGCAGAGUCUGAGCCCCGCGUGGGCGUUUGCUUCCGGCCACGUGCUACGCGCAUACCCAAUGGGAAAGCUUGAUGUCAGUCCCGCUUCCUCACCCUGGCAACGGGCGGGUGACUACUUCCGGUGCUGUGAGGGCUCGGGGCUGACGCUGGGUAAUUCCUCUCCUGCAAUUACUUUUGGAUGGAAGUAUGUACUUUUCCCAAUAGAAGAUGGUAAUCUCAGAGAAUGACCAUGGAGAAGGGGAUGAGUUCUGGAGAAGUGGUGCCUUCCAGAUCAUCUCAGAUUUCGACUGUUAAAAUAACAGUCAAAGAGUUGGAAACAAAGCAGUCCCAUAAGGAGAAGCGAGGGGGCUUUGUGUUGGUACAUGCAGGUGCAGGUUAUCAUUCUGAAUCCAAAGCCAAGGAAUAUAAACAUGUAUGCAAACGAGCUUGUCAGAAGGCAAUUGAAAAGCUACAGGCUGGUGCUCUUGCGACAGAUGCAGUGACUGCGGCUCUGGUGGAACUUGAGGAUUCUCCUUUUACAAAUGCAGGAAUGGGAUCUAAUCUAAAUCUCUUGGGUGAAAUUGAGUGUGAUGCCAGCAUAAUGGAUGGAAAAUCCUUAAAUUUUGGAGCUGUUGGAGCACUGAGUGGAAUCAAGAAUCCAGUCUCAGUUGCAAACAGACUCUUGUGUGAAGGGCAGAAGGGCAAGCUCUCGGCUGGCCGAAUUCCUCCCUGCUUUUUAGUUGGAGAAGGAGCCUACAGAUGGGCAGUAGAUCACGGAAUACCCUCUUGCCCUCCUAACAUCAUGACCACAAGAUUCAGUUUAGCUGCAUUUAAAAGGAACAAGAGGAAACUAGAGCUGGCAGAAAGAGUGGAAACAGAUUUCAUUCAACUAAAGAAAAGAAGACAAUCAAGUGAAAAGGAGAAUGACUCAGGCACUUUGGACACAGUGGGCGCUGUAGUGGUGGACCAUGAAGGGAACGUUGCUGCUGCUGUCUCCAGUGGAGGCUUGGCCUUGAAACAUCCAGGGAGAGUUGGACAGGCUGCUCUUUAUGGAUGUGGCUGCUGGGCUGAAAAUACUGGAGCUCAUAAUCCCUACUCUACAGCUGUGAGUACCUCAGGAUGUGGGGAGCAUCUUGUGCGCACCAUACUGGCUAGAGAAUGUUCACACGCUUUACAAGCUGAAGAUGCUCACCAAGCACUGUUGGAGACUAUGCAAAACAAGUUUAUCAGUUCACCUUUCCUGGCCAGUGAAGAUGGCGUGCUUGGAGGAGUGAUUGUUCUUCGAACUUGCAGGUGUUCUGCAGAAUCUGACUCCUCCCAAGAUAAGCAGACACUUCUAGUGGAAUUUUUGUGGAGCCACACGACAGAGAGCAUGUGUGUUGGAUAUAUGUCAGCCCAGGAUGGGAAAGCCAAGCCCCGUAAGAGAAAUAGUUCCCAGGCCUUGUACCAGGAAUAGUUAUUCCCUUGAGCAGUUGGUUUAUUGUGAUUCUGGACACACAUGAACCACCGCUCUGGUUAUGGAAUGAGGAAGCUGAGAGAUGGGGCAACAGGCUGCUUCCAGCAUGGACAGAAGUCAGACUCACAUUUCAAGACUCCCUCCUGGUGCAGUGGCCGGACAGUCCGUGGCAAUCGAAGGUGGGGUUUGCCGCCUGGAGAACCCAAUGAACUGACCCUUCAGGCCGAGCGUGAAGCGUCCGAGAGACAUUUCAGAGCCUGAGCAUUUCAGGGCUUUUUAACUGAAGUUGGAUGUUUUAUCUUCGCCAUUUUAUAAUCCCUCUUGCAUCCUCGUGCACCGCUCACGACACUAGUGCUGCUGUAGUUAGCGCUUAGUGACCUGCGGACCUGAGUGUGUGUGUGUGCGUGUGCGUGUGUGCAGUGUGUGCGCUUGCUUCUCCCUCGAUGAAAUACAAACUCCUUAUCGUGUAACCCAAGACCGGGAAUGAUUAAAUCACCUUUACAAAACGUGUGCUUUACUGUUUACAAGUAAAACCUAACGUUGCAAAGGAAAUGUUUUUGAUUUCAUACAGAGGUACCAGCUGUCGUUGGUGUAAUGUGUCUGAGCUGAAGAGUAAAUCUCCUUGUUUAAAUGAGUUGACAGUGGUAGUGCUCCAUUUAAUAACAGUACUAAGUGAUAAAGUGUUUUUAUUUGUUAACCAGUUUAAGUGGAUCCUGUGCUAACUUAAACUGUUAUUCUCAUCCCCCAUAUGGGGCAUUUUUCUUUAACAAAGAAUGGUUUCAGUGAAACAAUCUAGCAGAGAAUUAAGGUCAGAACCUUUUUAAAUAAUAGUCUUAUUGAUAAAGUUUGUACUUCUUUCCUCAAGCUUUUCUAAGCUUAAAUACUGCAUAUCUUCGAGCUAUAUGUACUAUAUUAUGAGAGAAUAUGUAAAGAGAACAUACAGGAAUGCACAGUCCUUAAUUUGUGUAUAAUGGAAUGUUAUUUACAAUGUAACACUGUAAAUAAGAAAGCAAAAUUUAUGGGAAAAUUCAAUAUUAUCUUUGUUUCUUGUUUAAAUAUAUUUUUAAGAUAAAGGCACAAAAAUAAAAGAAGUGUAUUACUGAG